rnacentral:rRNA from 1 species
AUUGAACGCCGGCGGCAUGCCUUACACAUGCAAGUCGAACGGUAACAGGUCUUCGGAUGCUGACGAGUGGCGAAUGGGUGAGUAAUACAUCGGAACGUGCCUAGUAGUGGGGGAUAACUACUCGAAAGAGUGGCUAAUACCGCAUGAGAUCUACGGAUGAAAGCAGGGGAUCGCAAGACCUUGUGCUACUAGAGCGGCCGAUGGCAGAUUAGGUAGUUGGUGGGAUAAAAGCUUACCAGCCCGACGAUCUGUAGCUGGUCUGAGAGGACGAUCAGCCACACUGGGACUGAGAAACGGCCCAGACUCCUACGGGAGGCAGCAGUGGGGAGUUUUGGACAAUGGGCGCAAGCCUGAUCCAGCAAUGCCGCGUGCAGGAUGAAGGCCUUCGGGUUGUAAACUGCUUUUGUACGGAACGAAAAGCCCCGGGUUAAUACCCUGGGGUCAUGACGGUACCGUAAGAAUAAGCACCGGCUAACUACGUGCCAGCAGCCGCCGUAA